CCUACGGGUGGCAGCAGUAGGGAAUAUUGCUCAAUGGGGGAAACCCUGAAGCAGCAACGCCGCGUGAGGGAUGAAGGUUUUCGGUAUGUUAACCCCUUUUUGUAGAGAAGAUAAUGACGGUACCUGACGCAUAAGCACCGGCUAACUUCGUGCCAGAAGCCGCGGUAAUACGUAGGGGGCCAGCGUUAUACGGAUUAACCGGGCGUUAUGAGGGUGUAGGCGGGAUUGCAAGUCCGAGGUGAAAGUCUUGGGCUUAACCAUAGAACUGCAGUUGAAACUGGGAGGCUGGAGUAUGGGUGAGGUAGGUGGAAUUCGUGGUGUAGGGGUAAAAUGCGUAGAGAGCAAGAAGAAAACUGAUUGCGAAGGCAGCCUGCUAAACCAUGACUGACGCUGAUGCACGAAAGCGUGGGGAUCAAACAGGAUUAGAGACCCGUGUAGUC
rnacentral:rRNA from 1 species